rnacentral:lncRNA from 1 species
GUUGAUAUAAAUUUGCAGUGUACUAAUUGUGGGUUCUUCCAUUUUAUUUUUAAGGAAAUGGCUAUGCGAUAUGAAAACGUAGUAUUUGCCAAUGUGGAUGUGGAUGUUGCAGCGGAUAUUGCAACAGAGACAAAACUAUUUUUACCACAUCCUGCCCUAUGGCAGGGCAGGAAAAAGGGAGGAGAGAACGGGAAGAGGAGUGUUAGCUUCUCACUGUAUUUACUUUAUACAAUUUUGAAGAUUUUUUUUUCAAUAUUCUUUAACCAUUUUUUCGAAUUCUUGUCCCUGUACAAAAG